rnacentral:snRNA from 1 species
CGACUUGGUUUCUCUUCACGCACAAGCUUCGCUUUACUAAAGACUUCCGUGGAGAGGAACACUUACGAGUUCAACGUAUUUUUGAAGGGCUUUGCUUUCCGGCAGAGCC